AACGCAUAUUGCACUCUACUUUGGUAGAGUAUGCCUGUUUGAGAAUCUAUAGUAUUCCUUUUCCUAUCCUUGUGGUAGGAGAGAGUUGAGACGUCGCUCUAACCCAGCGUGUCUUUAAAACUAUAGCUGCUCUGGCGGGACUAGUGUCUGACGCUCUACAAGCCGCAGAAAAGUAUGUGAAUGAACCGCAAGGUUUCUCUAGUGCUGACUAUGCGAUCGUGGGGUUUAGCUGGUUCUGCGAGAGCACUCGUACCUAUGAAAGCACUUGCAAAAGCGCUUGAACCAUGGUCUCAAAUCAGGUAGGAAGACCCGCUGAACUUAA
rnacentral:misc_RNA from 1 species